UUACCUGAAAUUUGUAUGCAGUUGGAAUAGCGCCCCUAGCGGCAAACGUAGGCAAACGUUCCAACUCCAUACAAAUUCGAGUUA
rnacentral:pre_miRNA from 1 species